UCUUCUUCUAGUCUGUGAACACGUUUUUUCCUAGUAAAUUUGCUCCAAUUUUUUCGUGCAGUAACUUUUCUGACAGCUCAAGUUGUCUUGAUUGUACUUAAAAGAUGUCAUGUUUUGAUUUUCGACGUAAUUUUUAAAUAAAAGCACUUAAGUGGAGAAAUAAACGUAGGAAAACGUACAAUUUCAUGAUUUUGUUAUUUAAUAAAAAAACGGACGACA